rnacentral:lncRNA from 1 species
CUCAGAGCUCUCGAUAGCCACAUCUUCCCCAAUUUAGCUCAUCAUCUGAUUGCAUAGUUAUUUCUGUUUAUCUUAUCAGAACUUGGCUAUGUGAAAUAAAUCAGUCCUUUACCACCUGCCCCCUAGAAGCUAGAGGGGACCCUCUUCCCAUAGUCACAUUUUUUUUCCAUUUUGAACAUUUCUUUCACAAAUGUGAUGAAAAAAACCUGGACAUUUAGAUAUUACAAGAUAAUUUUCUUUUCCUAAGCAUGCCCACUACCUGUGCCCCCCAAACUGAGGACCAGCUCAGAGCACUGGUGUUUUUCCUGUCUUCAACUCUGAGGAUGGAUGGAAAGAUCAAAGAAGUAAAUAAAGAAGGUUGUGAAGUGCUGUGGGAACAGGUCUUGAAAAUGUAAGAGAAAAGAAGGGACUGGGGAACCAAGAGAUUGAAAAGAGAAUGGGUGAGAGAAAAAAAAGAGACACAGGUUUAAAAUGGAAUUCCUGUGGGGGACCCAGAACUGAAUACAAACCCUUCUCUGGGCAUCUCCUCCAACCACACAGCUUUAUGAGCAUUUUGUUUGGUUUGUUUUAAAUAAGGAAAAGACUAUCCAAGAGAAAGACUAUCUUCCCUUUUCAAUUAAUCCCAAGGGGGCAUUUAUAUAACCCUACAAAGAUCUUUCAUGCUAGAUAUUAACUUAAAGGUGUAUCCUUUGGGAAAAACUAAACACAAAAUUACAGUCUCUGACAAAUCAGUACUGCUAGUUUUAGAAUAUAAUUUCCCCCCAGGAGAUCAAUGAGAUAAGCUGCAGGGAUAAAUUGUAAAGCAGUUCUUUAGAUUGUAUAUUUUUCGAAUACCUCAUUCUUAAAGUAGACAUUAAGUGUUUACUGAAUCAACAUUGUCUUAUGCUGAGAAAAAAGCCUUCACAUAAACUCCUUUAUUGAAUUUCUACAGUUCUCUAAUAUUGUUCCAGUUUCCUUAUGCAAGCAUUGAGAAACAGGUGAGAAAACCCAACCUAGAGAGAUUUCUAACCACCCUCAGUAUAGCCCCUAUGCAUUUAAUUUUAAAAAUGAAUCUUAAAAUUUCCUAUAAUUUUUCUUAGAGAAAAAUAUGAAAAAGGGGGUUUUAAGUAAUUAGAGGACCUCUCACAUUAGUUUCCCAUGACCUAGUGCCUAUUAAAAAAGAAGGAAAAAAGAUAAAAGAUACUUUUUAUAAGCAGACCAAGAUUAUAAUCUUUAGAGUAAGAAACUCACUGGCUCUCUGCCCAGGGAUAAUUCCCCAACUUCAGUGCAGCACGCUAAGACCCAAGCAGAGCAAGUUAGUUCCAAUGAGCUGAGGAGGCAAAGAUCAGAGUUCAGGAUUCUAGAAGCAGCUGAAAUUUCUAAGGAAGGGUAUCAGAAUGGAGGGAUUUGGGCAAAGAGUGGUUGCAGAAAUUGGUAAGUGAGUCUACCGUGAAUUCUUGACACAGGGAAACAUAGCCCAGAGUUUACCAGAGAGUGUCUGCUUCAGGAUUAAGAAUAGAAUAGAGCUGUCAGAAGUUACUGUGUUGGGGGACACUGUGGUCCAAUCCAGAAAGAAAGAGGAGACUUAUUUGGCACCUUUUAACAACCUGGGAAUCUAGCUGAGAUGUCAAGUAUCCUGGGCAUCAUCUAAAACAAAACACCAAGAAAGGUCACACCUUAGAACUCAGGAGCCCACUGCAGAGUAAAAAAUGAUUCAAGUACAAACAAAGCCUAAAGCCAAGUCUGACAAGAUGUGCAAAAGAAAGAGAGUUUUUAGAUCAAGUCCCAAUAAGUUAGAGCAUCAUGAAAAAAAAAAAAAGUUUUCUCAUGCUCUAGUCUAACAAAGCACAAAUAGCCUAAACAAGACCAAGGUGACCAACCAGCAUGAAACCCACCCACUGGAACAGGACUAAACAUACACCAAGG